UUUAAUGUGGUGUUUUAGCAUUUCACAUUUUGGUUGUGAAGGAGAACUAGUUGUCCAUUAAUU
rnacentral:tRNA from 1 species